rnacentral:rRNA from 1 species
AGAGUUUGAUCCUGGCUCAGGAUGAACGCUGGCGGCGUGCCUAAUACAUGCAAGUCGAGCGAACGGACGAGAAGCUUGCUUCUCUGAUGUUAGCGGCGGACGGGUGAGUAACACGUGGAUAACCUACCUAUAAGACUGGGAUAACUUCGGGAAACCGGAGCUAAUACCGGAUAAUAUUUUGAACCGCAUGGUUCAAAAGUGAAAGACGGUCUUGCUGUCACUUAUAGAUGGAUCCGCGCUGCAUUAGCUAGUUGGUAAGGUAACGGCUUACCAAGGCAACGAUGCAUAGCCGACCUGAGAGGGUGAUCGGCCACACUGGAACUGAGACACGGUCCAGACUCCUACGGGAGGCAGCAGUAGGGAAUCUUCCGCAAUGGGCGAAAGCCUGACGGAGCAACGCCGCGUGAGUGAUGAAGGUCUUCGGAUCGUAAAACUCUGUUAUUAGGGAAGAACAUAUGUGUAAGUAACUGUGCACAUCUUGACGGUACCUAAUCAGAAAGCCACGGCUAACUACGUGCCAGCAGCCGCGGUAAUACGUAGGUGGCAAGCGUUAUCCGGAAUUAUUGGGCGUAAAGCGCGCGUAGGCGGUUUUUUAAGUCUGAUGUGAAAGCCCACGGCUCAACCGUGGAGGGUCAUUGGAAACUGGAAAACUUGAGUGCAGAAGAGGAAAGUGGAAUUCCAUGUGUAGCGGUGAAAUGCGCAGAGAUAUGGAGGAACACCAGUGGCGAAGGCGACUUUCUGGUCUGUAACUGACGCUGAUGUGCGAAAGCGUGGGGAUCAAACAGGAUUAGAUACCCUGGUAGUCCACGCCGUAAACGAUGAGUGCUAAGUGUUAGGGGGUUUCCGCCCCUUAGUGCUGCAGCUAACGCAUUAAGCACUCCGCCUGGGGAGUACGACCGCAAGGUUGAAACUCAAAGGAAUUGACGGGGACCCGCACAAGCGGUGGAGCAUGUGGUUUAAUUCGAAGCAACGCGAAGAACCUUACCAAAUC